CUUUACUUUCACGUUCACCUUUAAAAUAAUAAAUGGCGCAUCAACCAAAAGUAAUCUGAAUACCCAUGAGUAAAAACGAAGAAUAGGUAAGGUGACUCGCUCCCUUCAUUCACGAACUUUCGCAACUGACAAAGCGUUUGAGAAGUUCGAAAUAAACCAGCUGCUUAAACCACCUUGUGACCGAAUGGUCGUUUCUCCAAUGGGCAAAAAAUCGGAUACAAUUAUGCGCAGGUAUUUAAACGGCACAUUUGUUUCAAUACCUGCAAGUCUAUGCAUGUUUAAACACCAGCGAUUUUUUGAUAACUACGGAAAUAUAAUAUCUAAAUAAUAAAUAAAUAGAUGUAUGUAAAAUAAUACUAUUGAAAAUCACUGUUAAACAAGAACAAGACAUUUUACCGUCUCUUUCGUACGCAGUAUCAUUCUCUUACCGGGCAUGAUUCAAUUUUAAAAAUAGAAAAUUUUUCUGGAAAAGAAAAGGCUUUAUAUUUCAUAUACCUACGUGAAUCGACAGAUUAACGAAACUAUAUCAAAGUAAACAAACAUUUUGAUACAGCCAAGAAAGUAUUAAAUAAAAAGUAUAAAUUACAUAUUUGUACGUUGAAAUUUGUUAAAUAGGACAAUAAAAAAUUAUAUUUCAUAUGAAUCGGCAAUGUUACUAUCUUAAAUUAGACUGUCUUCAGGCUGUUAUGUUCGAAACAAUGUCAAUAAAUAAAUAAAAAAUUGCAGCAUGGAGCAAAUAAAUAAGAAAAGUGCAAUUUCAAUAUUUACACUCAAUUCGAAAACAUAGCAAACCUAUGUGUGUUUUGAUAAUCCAACAAAAAUAACACUAACUUAGCAAACACUUUUGUAAAAAGUAUAUUGUUGAAUAAAAUUCAUU